UUUGUUUUUUAAUUAAAAACUAGAAUGAAAGGUUAUACAUUCAAAUUUCUUUAUUAAUUUUUAAUAAAUAAUUUAUAUUAAAUAUAAAAAUAUAUUUAUACUAAAAAAAGACGACAAGACCCUAUUAAAUUUUACUUAUAGUUUAGCUGGGGAAGCUUUUCAAUUAAAAUUUUUUAAAUUAAAAUAAAUAAAAAUCUAAUAAAAUUAAAUUUUAAUAAAUUACUAUAGGGAUAACAGCAUUAUAUUUUUUAAAAGUUCAUAUUAAAAAAAAUGAUUGUGACCUCGAUGUUGAAUUAUAUUUUCUAUAUUUAAUGCAAUAAUUAUAUAAGUAGAUCUGUUCGAUCUUUAAAAUAUUACAUGAUUUGAGUUCAAACCGGUGUAAACCAGGUUGGUUUCUAUCUUUUUAUAUAUUUUUCUAGUACGAAAGGACAAAAAAAUUUUUAUUCUAAUAAAUUAGCAAAUAUAUGCAUUAGAUUUAGAAUCUAAAUAUAAUUAAGAAU
rnacentral:misc_RNA from 1 species